AAAAUGUUAAAAAUAUCACGUGUAUAUAUAUAUAUAUAUAUAUAUGUAUGUAUGUAUAUGUAUUUUU
rnacentral:misc_RNA from 1 species